rnacentral:rRNA from 1 species
UACAUGGGGUGCAACCGUUGCUCGGAAUUAUUGGGCGUAAAGCGCACGUAGGCGGUUUGUUAAGUCGGAUGUGAAAUCCCUCGGCUCAACUGAGGAAGUGCAUCCGAAACUGGCAAGCUUGAGUACGAAAGAGGGUCGCGGAAUUCCCGGUGUAGAGGUGAAAUUCGUAGAUAUCGGGAGGAACACCGGUGGCGAAGGCGGAUCUCUGGGCCGUAACCGACGCUGAGGAGCGAAAGCAUGGGGAGCGAACAGG